AAACGCUGGGUUAUUUUAAUAACCCAAUUGCUGGGUUAAGGCUGUUGGGUUAUAGGUUGGGUAGAUUUGACCCAACGUUGGGUCAAAGAUUGUGACCCAACACAAUGGGUUAAAUGAAAGCGAGGCUCGUUCUUCCGCCAUUUCUGGACAGAAGGCGCCAGGACGUCAACGACCAUAGCUGCCGGAUUCAAGUCCCAGCCCCGAACCGGCUGCCUUCAGAGCAACACAGAGCUUCUUUGGAACAAGGAGCAACAUUUAAUAUCCGUAUGAGAUCCUUAAGACAGCUGAUGGAAAAUGCAUGGUUAGUGGUCCUGAGGAACAGAAUCACAUAAAUAAUGAAAGACGUGCCAUGGUCCGGAUACUUGUGU